UGGGGAAUAUUGCACAAUGGGCGCAAGCCUGAUGCAGCGACGCCGCGUGGGGGAUGAAGGCCUUCGGGUUGUAAACCCCUUUCAGCAGGGAAGAAGCGAAAGUGACGGUACCUGCAGAAGAAGCCCCGGCUAACUACGUGCCAGCAGCCGCGGUAAUACGUAGGGGGCGAGCGUUGUCCGGAAUGACUGGGCGUAAAGGGCGCGUAGACGGCUUUUUAAGUCUGGAGUGAAAGUCCUGCUUUCAAGGUGGGAAUUGCUUUGGAGACUGGAAGGCUUGAGUGCGGAAGAGGUAAGUGGAAUUCCCAGUGUAGCGGUGAAAUGCGUAGAGAUUGGGAAGAACACCAGUGGCGAAGGCGACUUACUGGGCCGGAACUGACGUUGAUGCGCGAAAGCGUGGGGAGCGAACAGG
rnacentral:rRNA from 1 species